UACGGGGGGGGUAAGCGUUGUUCGGAAUUACUGGGCGUAAAGGGCUCGUAGGCGGCCAACUAAGUCAGACGUGAAAUCCCUCAGCUUAACUGGGGAACUGCGUCUGAUACUGGAUGGCUUGGAUUCGGGAGAGGAAUGCGGAAUUCCAGGUGUAGCGGUGAAAUGCGUAGAGAUCGGGAGGAACACCAGAGGCGAAAGCGGCGACCUGGACAGGUACUGACACUCAACUACGAAAGCGUGGGGAGCAAACAGG
rnacentral:rRNA from 1 species